rnacentral:rRNA from 1 species
UGGCGAACGGGUGAGUAACACGUGGGUGAUCUGCCCUGCACUCUGGGAUAAGCCUGGGAAACUGGGUCUAAUACCGGAUAGGACCAUGCUUUAGUGUGUGUGGUGGAAAGUUUUUUCGGUGUAGGAUGAGCCCGCGGCCUAUCAGCUUGUUGGUGGGGUAAUGGCCUACCAAGGCGGCGACGGGUAGCCGGACUGAGAGGUUGGUCGGCCACAUUGGGACUGAGAUACGGCUCAG